rnacentral:rRNA from 1 species
GAUGAACGCUGGCGGCGUGCUUAACACAUGCAAGUCGAACGGUGAACGAGGGAGCUUGCUCCCUCCGGAUCAGUGGCGAACGGGUGAGUAACACGUGAGCAAUCUGCCCUGGACUCUUGGAUAAGCGUUGGAAACGACGUCUAAUACCGGAUACGAGACGCGAAGGCAUCUUCAGCGUCUGGAAAGAAUUUCGGUCCAGGAUGAGCUCGCGGCCUAUCAGGUAGUUGGUGAGGUAACGGCUCACCAAGCCUACGACGGGUAGCCGGCCUGAGAGGGUGGCCGGCCACACUGGGACUGAGACACGGCCCAGACUCCUACGGGAGGCAGCAGUGGGGAAUAUUGCACAAUGGGCGCAAGCCUGAUGCAGCAACGCCGCGUGAGGGACGACAGCCUUCGGGUUGUAAAGUACUUUCAGCGGGGAGGAAGGCGGUGAAGUUAAUAACUUCACCGAUUGACGUUACCCGCAGAAGAAGCACCGGCUAACUCCGUGCCAGC